GGACCCGCACAAGCAGCGGAGCAUGUGGUUUAAUUCGAAGCAACGCGAAGAACCUUACCAGGGCUUGACAUCCCUCUGACCGGACGGUAACGCGUCCUUCCCUUGGGGGCAGAGGAGACAGGUGGUGCAUGGUUGUCGUCAGCUCGUGUCGUGAGAUGUUGGGUUAAGUCCCGCAACGAGCGCAACCCUUGUCAUUAGUUGCCAGCGGUUCGGCCGGGCACUCUAGUGAGACUGCCGGGGAUAACUCGGAGGAAGGUGGGGAUGACGUCAAAUCAUCAUGCCCCUUAUGUUCUGGGCUACACACGUGCUACAAUGGCUGGUACAAAGAGAGGCGAUACCGCGAGGUGGAGCAAAUCUCAAAAACCAGUCCCAGUUCGGAUUGCAGGCUGCAACCCGCCUGCAUGAAGUCGGAGUUGCUAGUAAUCGUGAAUCAGCAUGUCACGGUGAAUGCGUUCCCGGGUCUU
rnacentral:rRNA from 1 species